GCGCGGUUAGCUCAGCGGUAGAGCAUCGUCUUCACACGGCGGGGGUCACUGGUUCGAACCCAGUACCGCGCACCA
rnacentral:tRNA from 1 species